rnacentral:rRNA from 1 species
UCUGGGACAAGCCCUGGAAACGGGGUCUAAUACCGGAUAACACUCUGUCCCGCAUGGGACGGGGUUGAAAGCUCCGGCGGUGAAGGAUGAGCCCGCGGCCUAUCAGCUUGUUGGUGGGGUAAUGGCCUACCAAGGCGACGACGGGUAGCCGGCCUGAGAGGGCGACCGGCCACACUGGGACUGAGACACGGCCCAGACUCCUACGGGAGGCAGCAGUGGGGAAUAUUGCACAAUGGGCGAAAGCCUGAUGCAGCGACGCCGCGUGAGGGAUGACGGCCUUCGGGUUGUAAACCUCUUUCAGCAGGGAAGAAGCGAAAGUGACGGUACCUGCAGAAGAAGCGCCGGCUAACUACGUGCCAGCAGCCGCGGUAAUACGUAGGGCGCAAGCGUUGUCCGGAAUUAUUGGGCGUAAAGAGCUCGUAGGCGGCUUGUCACGUCGGAUGUGAAAGCCCGGGGCUUAACCCCGGGUCUGCAUUCGAUACGGGCUAGCUAGAGUGUGGUAGGGGAGAUCGGAAUUCCUGGUGUAGCGGUGAAAUGCGCAGAUAUCAGGAGGAACACCGGUGGCGAAGGCGGAUCUCUGGGCCAUUACUGACGCUGAGGAGCGAAAGCGUGGGGAGCGAACAGGAUUAGAUACCCUGG